AUUUAAAGGUCGGUCCCUGCGAAAACCCUAAAAUUCAUCAGCUCUCACGCCCCCUCCUUCUCGCUACCUGAGGGAAGACUGCCAGAGACGAUGUCGAGGUAAGCUCACAAGAUUGCAAUCCACUACACCAACCUUGGUUGACGCAUUUCAUCAAACACUUGAUGCAUGAUUUGUUUAGGUAGGGCAAAACACGACAUUACAUAAGAUGGGAUUGAUGGGAGAGCAGAUUGAAUGAGGACAACUCUGCCCACAUAGGAAAGCAAAUUUUCUUUCCACAAUCCCAGCUUUGAUUGAACCCUUUUAACAAUUUGUAAGAAGUUCCUUGAUCUAGCUCUAUGGAAAAAAAGUUUAGUCCCUAGGUAGAUGUAACACCCUAAACUGAUUUCACCCCUACCCUGUGUUCAGGCAAAAUGGCAGAAGAGAGAAAGGCAGCAUUUGGCAGUAGUGGAGUGUUAAGAAGGCAAGAAUGACCCCACCUGUCCAUGCUCAGCGUGUCAAUAUCACUGGAAAGCUUAUCAGGAAAGAUGAGCCAACAGGUAAAAACUUUAAAUAAUUAACUAAGACACCAUUGACCCUAGCACAGUCCCUACUGGGCCAAAAAUGCUGCAAAUUGGUAGGUACAAACCAGCCAGCCAGUUUCACUGACAGAAUGCAAAAUUUUUAGGGUUUGUUCUGUUGGGGCCUACAUCUCUACAGUUCAGUUGCUUAUGCUUACACCAUGUAUAGAGGCGUGUUUGAUGAUUCUAAUUCAUCAUUUACCUCAGGGAUCAGAGUUGUCUAAGUUAAAUUAUAAAAGAAUAACCUACACUAGCUAUAGGAGGUGACUUAGGAAGGGCUAGCCAAAUAGACCCUUAGGUCUUUUUGGACAGCCCUAUAUAAGGGAAUUUAGGGCAUAAUUCUCACCCUUAAUUCGUUUGCUGCAAAUAGUAAGAGAAAGAAGAAAGAGAAGAGGAGAAGAAGAAGAAAGGAAAAGGAAAGGAAGGAAGAAGAAGUAGAGAAAGAACUCCUACACUUGAGGUUGUUGGACCAGCACUGUCCAUAGGUAAUUGUUAUUGUCCAUAUCAAUAGGGAUUUUAGGGUAAUUUCAUCAACUGGAUAGGUAGGGUUUAGGGUUUAGCCCAAUCGAGGAUUGCCAGGGAAUCCCUAUAAGUGGGAUUACUAACCAGUAGAGGAAGCCCCGAUUUUGAUAGGGAUUCUGGGAUCCAAUUUACCGGAAAUUCAUCCCAGUAAACGCUGGAACCUAGGGCCCCUACCAUUUCAAUAGCAAUAGAUGAAACUGGAACUGGGUUAAGGUUAAUUGAGUAAGAUAUUGCCCAAGCCCUAGAACAGGGAAUUGUUUUAGCUUAUAUUCUUAUGGUUUAAUCAAUUCUUCCCUUAGAAAUUCUGUUGUGAGCCUAAUAGAGACUGGAAUACUCAAAUUAGGUUUGUACCAAUUAUAUCACAACUUAAAUCAGUGGUAAGAGCAGGGGAAAUACUCUAAUUUUGCAGAAUUUCUUAAGUUCUCAAUUAAUUGCAGAAUUUCAGCAAAAUUGGUUACACCAGCCUUGCGUGCAAUCAAUUCGAACCCAAAAAUGGGUCAGUAGGAAGGUUCCCCUAUGUACUUAGGCUUAAUAUACAUAAAUGGGACUUUGGAAUAGUGAAAGAAUCCUAAAUAGACUUAACACUAUAUAGUACAGCAGUGGCAGAAUCGAAUUCUGCAGAAUAAGGGGGAACUGGCAGGUUCAAUCGGUCAACCGAUGGCUGACCAGCCCACCUACUGAUUUGGGUUUCAGUGCCCCCAUUGGGUUGCUGUGAAGGGCAGUGGGCUCUGUCUACCCUAUUAGCGUCUGUGACCACAUGUUACAGCAGAAACAAGACCUAGGGGAAGGGGAGUUGUGUCAAACUUGACUAUAAAAUUUGGUUGAUUGCUAGUGUGACAAGGGGAUACACUGUCCAAGUGUGGAAUCCACUAGUAUAUUCCCAACAGAUGACACUAUUGGUGAAGUAUUGAGAAACCCAGACUGUGUAGUGGAAACUGAGGUUGUACUUAAUGGGAUAAGCUGAAGUAGGAUUUUAUUUAAAUAAUUUAUUUGAAUAUUAUAUGUACUUAGGAAACAUAAAUAGUGGUGACGAUGUGACUUUGAGUUGGGAAACCGACAUGCAAAAAGUUGAAAAAUAGUUGAGUGUGUGCCUUGACUUAUUUCACAGAGUGUAUAUUUUAAUUCUGCUUGUAUCUCAUGCAUCUUGCUAUGUGUAUAUUACUAUUAUUAUUUUGUUACUGACCUGGUGAAGCUGGAAGCUGGAAAAGGAAAGAAAGGUAAGACGGGACACUAGUAGGUGCCCGACAUUUAUUUGUAUGUGAUGUGAUUGGUGGAUGAUUGUAUUACAUUAUAUAGAACUUGUGGGUUAGGAUUAUCACCACCCAAGUGCUACAAACCCCUUGUUAGGAGGGGGUGAGGCAUUGACUAAUCCCAACCCGUGGCUGCCUGAUUAGCAGUACACUUUCAGGGUAUGACGUACUGUGGGCAAAAAUCCUUCUGAAAAUUUGACGGGUCUGUUCAAGAAAUUGGCGGGCCUAUUAGGAAUCUUUGACAAAAAAGGCCUAGUCUACCCUAAUAGGGGUUUUGACUUUCAUGUGUGAUUCUAGGAGAUUUGUUGGUCCAAUUUUUAAAUACCAUAUAUCUUCAAGAUCUUCUUUCUGAGCACUAUCCAAUCGUACAGUUUUGAGCCCAUUUUCAGUUCAGAAUAGUUCAAGAUUCUCAAAAGACUCAUACGAUUGCACCCUCGGAAUAUCUGACAAUCUUUGUUCAUGUUGUUCCCUCUCAAUUGGUGAGUACUUAGAUUUGAUUCGUCAAUAUAUAUCAUAACCAUGUCGGGUGCCACGAGAUGGGGCAUAAUUUGGUUGUUUAAAGAGCCGGAUUAGGGUUUCAAGUCCUAUUAGGGUUUCAGCUAGGCUGGAUUAAGGCUUUAGGCUAUUGUUAGGUCCAAGUCAGUUUGAAAGGAUGAAUUCUCCUCUGAUAGAAAGUUUAGGCCUCAUUCACGUCCUAUAAAUCAUCAUUGCCAAGGGAGGGUUACAAAAUUGGAUGUCUACAAUGGAGUCUAUCUAUGGAAAGGGUAUAUUCCUAUAGGGGGUAGGCAAUUAACACAUUUGUCAUAGGUGUUUUCUAGAGUCUUCUAGGUGUCUUAGGGUCUUAGUGUGUAUCUAGGUAUAUGUCUUGAGUAGCAAUUAUAAGAUUGUGACGAGAUAUGGUCAAAUAUUGACCAAAUCCCUACAAAAUCGCAAUAGUCAGCACAAUAUGAUCUUUGGAUGAUAUAGUUGCCAAUUAGCCAAUGUUGACCUAGAUGCAAAUGGCGUCGGUCAAAGUGCAUCUGGAAUCGUCUUGAGUCUGUACAACUCUGGCUUGAGUUGACUCAAGGGGUUGUGGUCCAAUUGGGGUUUUAACUCAAUUUAGGACGAUCGAGGUGUCAUUGGGUGGUCACGAUCAAUUCUAAGAAGGUUAAAUCCAUUAACCAUUUUGAAAAUAUUUUUGAUCCAUUUAUUAAUCAUCCAAUUCCAUAAUGAAAGCAAAAAUAAAAUUUUUAAGACUGAGAGAAGAUCUCAACCGUAAAUACAUGGUCCCUUCACAUGUCAAGGGAUUCUCAACCCUUCCAAGGGUGACAAGAUGUGGUAUCUACCGAAUGCCCACUUUGACUGAGGCUGUGAAAUAAUAAAAAAAAUUCAAAGAAGUGAUUCUCAGACAGGACACUUCAUUGGAUGAGAAAAAAUUUUCGAUACCGUGCUCAGAAGUACUGAUGUAAAACAUGGUAAAAUAUAAAAAAUAACACAAUAUUGAUUAAAACGUCAUCAAACUCAAAAUCAAGUGGGGUUCAAAAAAUUUGGGAGCAUUGUUUGAAAACCUAGAGGUCUUGGAGAUAACGUAAAAAAAUCCCUAAUGGUAGCCUUGUGGCUUCGAAGCCUUAGAAUUUCUUAAAAAAAUUUUAAAAUUUCCAUCGGCAACCAUAUCGGCUUUGAAACCUAGGGUUUUGUUUGGUGUUUAAAAAUUUCCCUUUGGCAUCUGUAUCAACUUUAGAACCCUAGGUUUUGUAAUUGUAAAUGGGGCAUACCUGUAUAAAUCCUCCAAUUGAAGGUUGGAAUAUGGGGUUUGAUUUCUUAUGCCACUGUUGCUAGGGCUACUUGAGUUGUAAUUGCUAUCGUGUUGGUAUCUUCACUAGGGAUUGAAUUUGACAACUGCUUGGUGUAGGGGUUGUGACUACUUUAAUGGGGAUAUGGAUUGCAUUCAUUUUAAGUUCUUCCGGUACUUGGUUGAAUGUGAUUCACUAGGAGCAAGCAUUUGUCAUUGCUUGUUGUUCUCUAAUGGGGAGUACAAGAAUUACUCCUACCACAUUGGGAGAAUUGUCCAAUUUAUCCAUGUUACAGGGCCCAUUGAGUUUAUGGGAAGCAUGUGCACCCAUUUUUUCAUUCUUUUUUUCUUUUUUGAAAUUAACUGCAUUUGGUUGGUGUAUGCCAAGCUUCAAUCGACAUCGGCCAUAUCGCAUGGGCCAUCGGACAUGCGCAUAUAGCAUUAGUUCUACAGCUGACCUUUGAGUUUGUGUGUGUUUAAGUGGGGCUAAGAGGGGUUUUGAACUCAUUUUUCCCCUCCUCCUUGGUCUUUUGAGCUCUAGAGAAUACCUCCUUGCUUCUUUGCAUGAGAUUUUCCAAGAUUCCUUGGGUUUGGAGUUGAUUUGGAAGGUUAUCCUUCAUUGCCUUGUGUUCUUGCUUCUUCCCAUCCUAGGAGCAUGAUUUUAUCCCUUGAUUAGGGGACUCAAAGUGUGAAAUAUAUGGGGGAUUUUGAAGAUAUUUGGGGCAAGUGUAGGUGUAAAAGAGUGGACUUAGGGUUUUUACUCAACCUAUUCCACUCCUUCUCUUCUCCUUAUCUUCUUCUUCCUUUUCUUCCUUGUUGAACCUAUAAAACCUAGAAUUCCUUGUGACUGAGAAACAUGGCACCUAAGUAUAAGGGAAAGUAACCAGCGGUUGAGGUGAAUCCUUCUACCAGGAGACUUAGACCAUAUGGGGGUGCCAUCAAUAUCCCUAAGGCAUAGCCCAUUGUAUGAGAGGUGACACCUAAGGCACAACCUACUUCCCGAUUGAGCUCUGAGGGCAUGGCGGCCUUGUUUGGCGAUGGCCGCUGGAGCGAAGACGAGCAUAACCACCAAGAGAGCACUCGAUGGUAUAUGGGGAAGCAUUUGAAGAACAUGACUUCCCACAUCUGCAACCUCAUGCGUAGGUCUUAUGAUUUGUGCUUUGUAGAAUGCAUAGAACUUUGAAGAAGUAUGGGUCGUUAUCAUGAAUUUCUCUAUGUCUAAUUGCACUAUAUUUUGAAUGGCUUUGUAUUGAAUGGUUUGCUUUUGAAUUGCUUUGUAUAUAUCUGUAAUUUGCAGAAAUUUGACCACAUGAAGAAGUACGGGUCAGUGGAUUAUGUGCUCUAGUUGUAAGACAACCUGUGUUCAGUUGUCUAGAAAUGCAUCAAGGACAUAGGUUUUGAGGAUAUAUCAUAGUUGUAGGUGCACAACUGUGAUCUCAAUCUAUACCAAAUCUUGAUGGAGCGGUAGUGGCCGUCUACCCACACCUUCUAUUUCACUUGUGUGGAGAUGACCAUCACCCCAUCUGACUUUAGCCUAUGCACGGGUCUACAGUUUAGAGGGAUGUCGAUCACGGGCUUUCCGAGAGGACGGGACCAUGAGACUUUAAAGACCCUCAUUGGGGAGUGUCCCGACACUUCAAAGCCAUUGGUGAGAUGGUUCUGCAAGCAUUGGGAGAACCCAACGAUCAAGGUGACCGAUGCUUAGGCAGCCUCCACGUACGACCAACUGACACAUAGCUUUUUGAUGUAUACUCUGGGGAACUCCCUCUUCAGCAAUAGUAGCAACUCAAUCAGCCUAGAUCUUACGCUUACCUCCUCAGUAGUAUGGAUGCCCUAGCUAUGGCCAAAAGACACUGCAUCACUGGAAUGUGGUAUGUCCCAGAGUGUUGGUGCUUUGAGUAUUUGCCCUUCCAUGAGCCCACACUCAAGGAUACCAGCCAUGACUUUUUCCCUAACCCAAGGAGAUGGUUGUGGCAACUAUGAGCGUCGCAAGCCUAUCUGCUUGAUUUCUGAACUUAGGGAGCUGGUGAACUGGCUCUCUAGAUCUGACGUGAGUUGGUCGCCAUAGGCUUCCCUGUUAGCAGGCCAAGAUUUGGGGAUUGCACCCCGCCUCAACUUUUCGAGGGUGUUAUUACAUGGGCCAUCUGGGCUUGCUUGGUAACUGGGCGAUGAGUGGCUCACUAGUGUGAGGCAGGUGGAUAUUCUUUGGUGCCAUAAGUUCUUCCAUGACAUAUGCUGCAUCCCAAGAUUUAGUCCUUCGAUCGUAACACUGAUGAGAUGACAGGCUACAUGGCCAUGGAAUUCUAUGAGCGGAAUUCCUAUAACCAAUACUGAGAGUUUAUGGUUAUAGAGAGUGUGUGCCUCCACGUCACUCUUGAGGGCCGGAAGGUAAGUGAUUUUGCUUUUUGUUUUUUAAUUUUCUUUAUUCAUUGUUUUACUUGUUUGAUUGCCAGGACCACCAUGAGAGGAUUCCUCCGACCUCUGCUAUUACUGAUUCAGGGUAGCAAAUAUGAUGAUCUCCAAUCAAUCUUUGAUGGAUAUGACUACCUAUCAGGGAAAGAGAUGGCAGCUCGUUGUGCCAGGGUAAUUCCCCUGUAACUUUCUUGUUUUGCAAAAAGCUGAAUUGGAUGUUACGAGGUAGGACAUUGAGGGAUGGUAGUCAUGAUUCGAAAACUAGUGGAGUAAAUCAAUGUGAGCACAUCGGCUGUUGUUAGAGGGAGCUGAGAGGCUACCGUUGAAGGUGAUGAUACAACAUCCCAUUCAGAAGUAAGCAGAAGUGCAAGUCAGAGAAGAAUGGCAAGAGGGAGUAGAGGUCUAAGGCUUCAAAGGACCCUGACGAGCCUAGCUUUUUUCUCUUGCUUUAUUUUUUUUUUUGUUGAUGUACACGAUUGUUUGGUCGUUUUUGAAACUUUUGAAUAUUUUUAAAAUGUACGAUCAUUUAAUCAUUUUUGUAAUCAUAUUAGCGUUUUUAA